CUGAGUGAGGGCCCUCUGGGUCCAACCUCCCACCCGUGUUUAUUGUACCUUGUUGCUUCGGUGAGCCCGCCUCACGGCCGCCGGGGGGCUUCUGCCCCCGGGUCCGCGCUCGCCGAAGACACCAUUGAACUCUGUCUGAAGAUUGCAGUCUGAGCAUAAACUAAAUAAGUUA
rnacentral:misc_RNA from 1 species